GCUAAACGCGAAGAACCUUACCUACCCUUGACAUGUCUGGAAUCCCGAAGAGAUUUGGGAGUGCUCGCAAGAGAACCGGAACACAGGUGCUGCAUGGCUGUCGUCAGCUCGUGUCGUGAGAUGUUGGGUUAAGUCCCGCAACGAGCGCAACCCUUGCCAUUAGUUGCUACAUUCAGUUGGGCACUCUAAUGGGACUGCCGGUGACAAACCGGAGGAAGGUGGGGAUGACGUCAAGUCCUCAUGGCCCUUAUGGGUAGGGCUUCACACGUCAUACAAUGGUCGGGACAGAGGGUUGCCAAGCCGCGAGGCGGAGCCAAUCUCAGAAACCCGAUCGUAGUCCGGAUCGCAGUCUGCAACUCGACUGCGUGAAGUCGGAAUCGCUAGUAAUCGCGGAUCAGCAUGUCGCGGUGAAUACGUUCCCGGGUCUUGUACACACCG
rnacentral:rRNA from 1 species